UCAUUCACUCUCUUUCUCUCUCUAACUCCCUCUCUCCUAUCCUAUCUCUCUUUACAAAAUGUUCUCUGCCAUCUCUCUAGAAUUAUACCCAUGUAAUGUAAUCUUUAUAAGAGACAAAAAAUCAAACCCUAAUCUGUUCUAAACCCUGAUCUGUUCUAAGCCCUAACUAAUUACCCAAACAAGAUCAAAUUGCAGCAAGUCAGUUGAGGUGGAGUGGUUGAUUGUGGUGGGUGAAGGGGUGGGUGGUUGAUUGUGGUAGGUUAGAAGCGGUUGAUUGUGGUGGGUUAGAAGCGGCGGUGUGUGAAGGGGUGGGUGCGGCAGGCGGUGGGUGAAGGGGUGGGUGCGGCAGGCGGUGGGUGAAGGGGUGGGUGCGGCAGGCGGUGGUCCAGUAGAGGUGGAGUUGGGCGAUUGCAAGUGGUGGUGGCCGGAGACUGCUUCACCAGAAUUCUCUGCGUGUUAUGUUUGGAACUAACCAGAAAAUACAUGAUUCGCCGGAAUUCUCUGCGUGUUAGCCGGAGUUCGAAUUUCGCCGGAGUCCACCUUCCUCAUCGAUACUCGGAUACUCAGAAAUGAUUUGGCAAAAUGGCAGUCGCAGCGAUGGUAUUCACAAAGGCAGUGGUGGCGUAGGCGACGACAGAGUAGCGGUGGAUGUGAUGGCAAGGAUGGUGAUGGCGGAGGCAACGUCGACGACGAUGGCUAGAGCUUUCAUUUGAAAAAUAUUUGGUAAAAAGCAAUCAGAGCAAGAAGUACUAGUAUGAGUUUUCAUUAAUA